rnacentral:rRNA from 1 species
GAAACCCAGUGUGAUUCGUCACACUAUCAUUAACUGAAUCCAUAGGUUAAUGAGGCGAACCGGGGGAACUGAAACAUCUAAGUACCCCGAGGAAAAGAAAUCAACCGAGAUUCCCCCAGUAGCGGCGAGCGAACGGGGAGGAGCCCAGAGCCUGAAUCAGCAUGUGUGUUAGUGGAAGCGUCUGGAAAGGCGCGCGAUACAGGGUGACAGCCCCGUACACAAAAGCGCAUGUGCUGUGAGCUCGAUGAGUAGGGCGGGACACGUGGUAUCCUGUCUGAAUAUGGGGGGACCAUCCUCCAAGGCUAAAUACUCCUGACUGACCGAUAGUGAACCAGUACCGUGAGGGAAAGGCGAAAAGAACCCCGGCGAGGGGAGUGAAAAAGAACCUGAAACCGUGUACGUAC